CUUCUGUUUCUCUGUUUUCUUUUCUUCUUUUCUUUUUUUUUCUCUUCUGCAUCGCCCUUGUCUCCUUUUCUUUGGCGGAGAGAGGGGGUCUGAACCCACCCCACCGAGAAACAGGGGAGGAGAGGAAGGGGCCUCCGGGCCGACGGCGGCUGCAGCCGAGGACCGGCGGUGGCUGCGGCCGAGGGCAGGCGGCAAGGUGGAACGACAACCAGGUAAGCGUUCUUCCCCUUUUUUUUCUUUUCUUUUUUUUGUCUAAAUCCAGUGACCUUUUCCCGCAUUCCGGCCAUUACCGGGUCGAUCGGGAAGGGGGAAGAACGAGGGAGGAGAUGGGGACCUCACCUUGGCGCCGAGGAGGCGCUGCAGCCGCGAUUCUGGCGGCACGAAGACGGGUCACUGUCAGCCCAAGCAGAGGAAAUAAGAGGAAGGAAGAAAGGAAGCGAGGAGAGGAGAAGGGAGGAAGAUGGAUGAGGAAGAAGGGCUCGGUCGUCUUGGCAAACGGAGAGGAGAAGAAAUAGAGGGAGGAGACCGCGGAUUCCGCGAACUCCUCGCGCUAUCUUUCCAAAAUCGGAGGCUCGCCAGCGAGGAGAAUCCACCAGAAAGGAAAGAAGAGGGGCGGGGCUCCGGCGACAUCGCGCGGCCCUGCCCUCCCUUACAGCAAGGAUCGCGGCCAGCUGGGUUGACUUCCACACCCAAACAUAGGCCGAGGUGGGCGGGCCUCGAGCUAGUGCUCGCUCCUGGCAGCAUAUGAUGCGCCCGUGUUACUGAGAGAGCUAAUUUAUAUAGUUGGGCCUGCUAUGGUCCUAACAUGACACUUUGGUAGGUUAUAUGAAGCUCAAGAUCAGGCACAAGGCCCCUAAAGAUCCAGCUAUUCGGCAACUCAGCCACAGGCUUGUUCAACCAGACCACCUUCUAGGGUGUGCAAAAGGAGCAAAUCCAUCAAUGGCAGCAAAACUUGGGAGGGUUUAGUCUGAAAUUAUGUUGAAACCACAGGCAUCAUGAGCCACAACAAGAGUUGGCCAUGGCAAGUAAUAGGAAGAUGAGUCAUGCAUGAGAACGGAAGGCCAUGAUUGCUGAGUUGCAGCUCUGAUAUGCUUCUAUUGAGAUAAGGCGCUUUUGAGUUGGCCUUUUCUUUCUUUUCCCCCUUUGCAUCAGAAUCAUGUAGCAGUGUGUUGAUCCAGGAAAAUGCAGGAAGAAGCACGACAGCUGUUGAGAAAACAAGCGGCAGUCACAGAGGAGGCGGCCGCAGCGCUGGUGAUGGCAGCGGCGGAACGGCAGAUCAUCCAGUAAUGCAGGUGGAAGGAUAAUACCAAUUGUAGGAGGACGUCGAGGCAACGCAGGGAGUAGCAACUUAAAUCACCUGCUUGCUGUCUUUCUUGCUUGCGCUGUUCCUCUUGUUCUUGGUUUGACAUGAAUGGAAGAACAUAAAAAAGAAAAAAAAAUAUGGAAUCUACUUUAAUUCUUUGAUAA